AACGAGCGCUGGCGGCAGGCUUAACACAUGCAAGUCGAACGGGUGUAGCAAUACAUCAGUGGCAGACGGGUGAGUAACACGUGGGAACCUUCCUAGGGGUACGGAACAACUCAGGGAAACUUGAGCUAAUACCGUAUACGUCCGUGAGGAGAAAGAUUUAUCGCCCUUAGACGGGCCCGCGUCGGAUUAGCUAGUUGGUGGGGUAACGGCCUACCAAGGCGACGAUCCGUAGCUGAUCUUAGAGGAUGAUCAGCCACACUGGGACUGAGACACGGCACAGACUCCUACGGGAGGCAGCAGUGGGGAAUCUUGGACAAUGGGCGCAAGCCUGAUCCAGCCAUGCCGCGUGAGUGAAGAAGGCCUUAGGGUUGUAAAGCUCUUUUGCCAGGGACGAUAAUGACGGUACCUGGAGAAUAAGCCCCGGCAAACUUCGUGCCAGCAGCCGCCGUAAAAC
rnacentral:rRNA from 1 species